rnacentral:misc_RNA from 1 species
CCUGUAAAGUAUAAGAAGUUCAAGGAGAGUUUGUGCAGCGGUACGCCAAGAAAGACGAUAAUCUACCUCAAUAGUCGUUUUACACACUAAUCUAAAUAUACCCUUUAAUAAAUUAUACCAUUCGGAAACAAAAUAAUAAAUCUGUGCAACGAAAUUUAAUUAUACCCAUUUUAACAGUAAGCCAAACAUCUGUGAAACGAAAAAUAACCAAAACAUCUGUGACAGAACAUGGCAAAACAAUAACCCAAACAUGGAAACAAAAUAACAUCUGUGCAGGAAAAAUAACAAUAACAUGAAAUCCAAACACCUAUGUAGUGAAAUCCAAACGUCCAUGAAGUAAAAAUUGAAAACACAGCGGGAAGGACGAGUAGGCAGCUAGAGAUCCACUCACUGCAGCGGGACGCACAAGCAGGCGAUUCUCAAUCAGAAUCCGUCCUCUCUUGAGGCAAGAUGGAC